AGGCCACUAUUUGAAUGUGUGUUGCUCCUUGUGGCAGGUAUACUGUUCCAAUGCCCUGGGAUCUCUGUAGUGGUCGGUACUGUAUUGAUUAUAAAUGGUGAAGUCCUAGUAUCUUGCUAGAGUGAGCUGGCCAGGAUGGUGGAGCUCUACCACCAUUUCACAGGUUAUAGACAGGGGCCACCAGGUUUCAGGAAAGCAGCAAUGACCCCUCAGUAAUAGUUGGAAAGUGUGAUAUGACACUGAGCUUCACUGUGUUGGUGAAGAAGAGCUGCAGUUUGCCUCCACCUCUGAAGAAGCACAAUACACCUUUCUGGGUUACCAAUGGGAUACUUCCCAACAGCUUUGUCAUCACAUACAAUAUUCUCAAACAAGAUCUUAAUGGCAUCUACUUUCUCCAGGAACACAGCCCCUGACCUGUGUGUGUUUGCGUAGAGAAGGCAUGCUAUGUACCCCCUAGGAUAUCAAGAUUCCUGUAGCAGAUUGAGCUCUGGCAGUUGAUCUCAGUGGCUUGAUAGAGUGUCAUUAUAAAAACGCACCUGGAAGAUUCUGUGGAAAAGACAACCUCAGAAGACCAAGGUGAAUCCAAGGCCUGAUCUGGACUCUUAAUGGGUGGUUAAAUUCUAGUUCCUUUAAAUAAGCAUCAAAGACGCCACAAAACCACAGAUAAAGCUGCCAUAGACAGCUAUAUUUGGGACUCAUUUAUCAUUUGUCACAAGCAUUUCAUCCUCUUGCAAUAUUUUUUUCUACUUAGUACUUCUACAAGAAGGAAUCUGCCCACCACUCAAGCCUGGGAAAGCUGGCAGAGGAUGCACGUGUUUUACUCACCUGAGUGUUUACAAUGCUCGUGAGGUGCCUCCCUGAUAAUUUACAAUCCAAAGCAGAGUGGGAGGAAGAGACCUACAAGACCAUGUUUCAUUGGAUAGCUUUGGAGUAAUAUCUAUAAUUUUAGAAAAAAGUUAAGAGGAAGAAGAAACUGGUGUCAGCUACACUUAGAAGAUUUUACAACAGAGACUGGCUUCCAUUCACUGAUCAGACAUUCACUGAUUUUUAAUUCUUACCACCAGAGAAAAAGUUGUUAUGAUGAGGGUCCUCAGGAAAGACAAUACAGUCAGCCGAGAAAUACAAUUUUCUUUGUCUACUGUUGUUUCCUUUACACGGACCAUUGAAAUAUAUACUUAACCACCAGCAAAACUCCUAUUAAACACAAGUAAAAAAAAAUCACUACAUGCAAAAGAGUGAACACCA
rnacentral:lncRNA from 1 species